rnacentral:rRNA from 1 species
GGAAGGGGUGUAUUUAUUAGGUAAAAACCAAUGCUAGCAAUAGCUUACUGGUGAUUCAUAAUAACUCUUCGGAUCGUAUGACCUUGUGUCGACGACGUAUCAUUCAAAUUUCUGCCCUAUCAACUUUUGAUGGUAGGAUAGGGGCCUACCAUGGUGAUAACGGGUAACGGAGAAUUAGGGUUCGAUUCCGGAGAGGGAGCCUGAGAAAUGGCUACCACAUCCAAGGAAGGCAGCAGGCGCGCAAAUUACCCAAUCCUGA